AGCGAACGCUGGCGGCAGGCCUAACACAUGCAAGUCGAACGAACCUUUCGGGGUUAGUGGCGGACGGGUGAGUAACACGUGGGAACGUGCCUUUAGGUUCGGAAUAACUCAGGGAAACUUGUGCUAAUACGAAUGUGCCCUUCGGGGGAAAGAUUAAUCGCCUUUAGAGCGGCCCGCGUCUGAUUAGCUAGUUGGUUGAGGUAAUGGCUCACCAAGGCGACGAUCAGUAGCUGGUCUGAGAGGAUGAUCAGCCACAUUGGGACUGAGACACGGCCCAAACUCCUACGGGAGGCAGCAGUGGGGAAUCUUGCGCAAUGGGCGAAAGCCUGACGCAGCCAUGCCGCGUGAAUGAUGAAGGUCUUAGGAUUGUAAAAUUCUUUCACCGGGGACGAUAAUGACGGUACCCGGAGAAGAAGCCCCGGCUAACUUCGUG
rnacentral:rRNA from 1 species